rnacentral:rRNA from 1 species
UACGAAAGGGGCUAGCGUUGUUCGGAAUCACUGGGCGUAAAGCGCACGCAGGCGGAUGUGUCAGUCAGGGGUGAAAUCCCGGGGCUCAACCUCGGAACUGCCUCUGAUACAGCACGUCUCGAGUCCGGAAGAGGUGGGUGGAAUUCCUAGUGUAGAGGUGAAAUUCGUAGAUAUUAGGAAGAACACCGGUGGCGAAGGCGGCCCACUGGUCCGGUGCUGACGCUGAGGUGCGAAAGCGUGGGGAGCAAACAGG